GAUGAACGCUGGCGGCGUGCCUAAUACAUGCAAGUCGAGCGAACAGAUGAGGAGCUUGCUCCUCUGACGUUAGCGGCGGACGGGUGAGUAACACGUGGAUAACCUACCUAUAAGACUGGGAUAACUUCGGGAAACCGGAGCUAAUACCGGAUAAUAUAUUGAACCGCAUGGUUCAAUAGUGAAAGACGGUUUUGCUGUCACUUAUAGAUGGAUCCGCGCCGCAUUAGCUAGUUGGUAAGGUAACGGCUUACCAAGGCAACGAUGCGUAGCCGACCUGAGAGGGUGAUCGGCAACCAUGGAACUGAGACACGGUCCAGACUCCUACGGGAGGCAGCAGUAGGGAAUCUUCCGCAAUGGGCGAAAGCCUGACGGAGCAACGCCGCGUGAGUGAUGAAGGUCUUCGGAUCGUAAAACUCUGUUAUUAGGGAAGAACAAAUGUGUAAGUAACUAUGCACGUCUUGACGGUACCUAAUCAGAAAGCCACGGCUAACUACGUG
rnacentral:rRNA from 1 species